rnacentral:rRNA from 1 species
GAUGAACGCUGGCGGCGUGCUUAACACAUGCAAGUCGAACGGAAACGCCCAAUCUUGUUUGGGUCCUCGAGUGGCGAACGGGUGAGUAACACGUGGGUGAUCUGCCCUGCACUUCGGGAUACGCCUGGGAAACUGGGUCUAUUCCCGGAUAGGACUACUUCUUGGUUGUUGUGGUGGGCAGUUUUCUCGGUGUGGGGUGAGCUCGCGGCCUAUCAGCUUGUUGGUGGGGUACUGGCCUACCAAGGCGUCGAGAUGUAGCCGGCAUGAGGGGGGGUACGGCCACAUGUGGACAGAGAAACGGGGCAGAGUCCUACGGGGGGCAGGAAGGGGGAAUAUUGCACAAUGGGCGCAGGCGUGAGGCAGCGACGCCGCGUGGGGGGUGACGGCCUUAGGGGUGUAAACUCCUGUCGCUAGGGACGAAGCGUGUUUGUGACGGUACCUGGAGAAGAAGCACCGGCUAACUACGUG